GUCCAGACUCCUACGGGAGGCAGCAGUGGGGAAUAUUGCACAAUGGGGGAAACCCUGAUGCAGCGACGCCGCGUGAGUGAAGAAGUAUUUCGGUAUGUAAAGCUCUAUCAGCAGGGAAGAAAAUGACGGUACCUGAUUAAGAAGCCCCGGCUAACUACGUGCCAGCAGCCGCGGUAAUACGUAGGGGGCAAGCGUUAUCCGGAUUUACUGGGUGUAAAGGGAGCGUAGACGGCAGGGCAAGUCUGAAGUGAAAGCCCGGGGCCCAACCCCGGGACUGCUUUGGAAACUGUCCGGCUGGAGUGCAGGAGGGGUGGGCGGAAUUCCUAGUGUAGCGGUGAAAUGCGUAGAUAUUAGGAGGAACACCGGCGGCGAAGGCGGCCCACUGGACUGUAACUGACGUUGAGGCUCGAAAGCGUGGGGAGCAAACAGGAUUAGAUACCCUCGUA
rnacentral:rRNA from 1 species